rnacentral:lncRNA from 1 species
AAACACCGGCUAUAUUUCAACUACCCGACUAAAAACUGAUUAGUCCAUGUUGUUUUUCCAUGCAGGUUGGAGUCGUAGUUGAACAUAGGGCUUAUUUCUUGAUGGGCUUGGGCUGCGAAUAAGAAUUUACCUCUUAUUAUAGUAUGUGCUUCUCGGAGGUAAGCUACAUUAUAGGCUAUCACCUAUAGACUUUGGCAUAAUGGUAAGCACUUGAAUUAAGCGUUCUUUGAUAUUACAGUUCUUACGAAUUGAGAAGCUAAUAGGUACUUCCUCAAUAAGCCAAUCUGGAAG